rnacentral:rRNA from 1 species
ACGAUGUGUGGAGGAUGCUUGGAGGCACGUGAAGAGCAGUGUUGGCGCCAGCCCGGCGCAAUACGUGCUCGGCACAUUCGUGGACUUCAAAGGAGCAUUCGACAACGUCGAAUGGAGUGCUGCACUCAGCCGACUAGCCGACUUGGGAUGCCGGGAAAUGGGCUUGUGGCAGAGCUUUUUCUCCGGCCGAAGAGCAGUGAUCCGAAGCAGUUCCGGUACUGUGGAGGUACCGGUAACUAGAGGCUGCCCGCAGGGAUCAAUCAGCGGCCCAUUUAUCUGGGACAUACUGAUGGAUGUACUGCUUCAGCGUCUCCAGCCGUAUUGCCAGCUGAGUGCAUACGCGGAUGACUUGCUGCUUCUCGUCGAGGGAAAUUCCCGAGCUGUGCUAGAGGAAAAAGGAGCGCAACUAAUGUCCAUCGUAGAAACGUGGGGAGCGGAAGUUGGCGUUGCCGUCUCGACCAGCAAGACGGUAAUCAUGCUGCUAAAAGGUGCCUUGAGACGUGCGCCUACGGUGAGGUUUGCUGGAGCGAACCUUCCGUAUGUGCGUAGCUGUCGGUACCUUGGCAUCACGGUUAGUGAAGGAAUGAAAUUCCUCACGCACAUAGCUUCGCUUCGCCAGCGGAUGACAGGAGUCGUUGGAGCAUUGGUGCGUGUGCUUCGAGCCGACUGGGGCUUCAGUCCUCGAGCCAGGCGGACCAUAUAUGACGGACUCAUGGCACCUUGUGUGCUGUUUGGUGCCCCGGUAUGGUAUGACACCGCGGAACAAGUAGCUGCCCAGAGGCGACUAGCCUCCUGCCAGAGGCUAAUCCUGCUUGGAUGCCUUUCGGUAUGCCGAACAGUAUCCACAGUGGCACUGCAGGUACUUGGUGGAGCUCCCCCGCUUGAUCUGGCUGCUAAGUUAUUAGCGAUCAAAUACAAGCUAAAACGUGGAUUCCCGCUGGAGGAGAACGACUGGCUUUACGGCGAGGACAUUGCGUGUCUUAGCUGGGAGCAGAGGAAGACUCGCCUAGAGGAGUGUUUAAUCCAGAGUUGGCAGAACAGAUGGGACGAUGACAGCGAACCAGGACGGGUGACGCAUAGGUUUAUCCCAUACGUCACUCUUGCCUAUCGGGAUCCAAGUUUUGGAUUCUCGAUGAGGACGUCUUUCCUGCUUACAGGGCACGGGUCGUUCAAUGCAUUUUUGCACGGGAGAGCCCUCAGCGAUACCACUGCUUGCGCAUGUGGAGAUCCAUAUGAGGACUGGAUGCAUAUCUUGUGCGCUUGCCCCCUAUAUGCAGAUCUGCGGGACCUAGAUGGACUUGGAGUGCAGCGCCUUGGCGAAAACUGGAUCUUCGAGGGAAUCCUGGAUGAUCAAGAGAAGACUCAACGGCUGGCAAUGUUUGCGGAAGAAGUGUUCCUUAGGAGGAGGGGCGUUUAGCUCAACAUCUCUGCCGUGUGGUUAGCGGGCGAGAAUACUACCACAGUCCGCUGUUGCUUGUCGUAAGAGACGACUAAUACAGCGAUAGGAUUCCUCUAACCCUGCUUGUCGGAGCAAAAGGGGGAGGCCCACCGAGCCUCUUUUCGGUACCACGGGUUGAGCAGCUAUCCAAGACUGCUCAUUGAGGUAGGCCCCCUGGUGGGAGUAUCGUGGUGGCUGUGGUUGGUACCCAUAUCGCGGGUAGAGCCUUCAUGCUCGACGUUUGAGUUACGGUGCUAGUUGCGCAAAACUCGGGUGCUGAGACCCAGAGAUCAGUAGAGAUUUUAGGUAGAUCUCGCUCCUCAGCAAGGGGGAGUGCUUGCCCGGCAAGCAAGUACUCGAAUUGCUACCGGGGUGGUCGCUAUGUACAUAGCUAUAGCUUCUAGUCCGGGACGCUUGUCUGGCGUAUCCAGACACAUGCACCAUAUGCUCACUUGUGGGUGUAUAGGGUGCCGUGGUUGUAAUCCCUUCAGUGUGGAACACGCCACGUAAAAUAAGUUCGGAGGGAUCCGAAAAGCAUACAUUGUCCCUAUCUACUAUCUAGCGAAACCACAGCCAAGGGAACGGGCUUGGAAUAAUUAGCGGGGAAAGAAGACCCUUUUGAGCUUGACUCUAAUCUGGCAGUGUAAGGAGACAUAAGAGGUGUAGAAUAAGUGGGAGAUAUUAGACCUCGGUUUGGUAUCGUCAAUGAAAUACCACUACUCUUAUUGUUUCCUUACUUACUUGAUUAAAUGGAACGUGUAUCAUUUCCUAGCCAUUAUACGGAUAUAUUUAUUAUAUCUUAUGGUAUUGGGUUUUGAUGCAAGCUUCUUGAUCAAAGUAUCACGAGUUUGUUAUAUAAUCGCAAACAAAUUCUUUAAUAAAACGAUGCAUUUAUGUAUUUUUGAUUUGAAAAUUUGGUAUAACUCCAAUUACUCAGGUAUGAUCCAAUUCAAGGACAUUGCCAGGUAGGGAGUUUGACUGGGGCGGUACAUCUCUCAAAUAAUAACGGAGGUGUCCCAAGGCCAGCUCAGUGCGGACAGAAACCACACAUAGAGCAAAAGGGCAAAUGCUGACUUGAUCUCGGUGUUCAGUACACACAGGGACAGCAAAAGCUCGGCCUAUCGAUCCUUUUGGUUUAAAGAGUUUUUAACAAGAGGUGUCAGAAAAGUUACCAUAGGGAUAACUGGCUUGUGGCGGCCAAGCGUUCAUAGCGACGUCGCUUUUUGAUCCUUCGAUGUCGGCUCUUCCUAUCAUUGUGAAGCAAAAUUCACCAAGCGUUGGAUUGUUCACCCAUGCAAGGGAACGUGAGCUGGGUUUAGACCGUCGUGAGACAGGUUAGUUUUACCCUACUAAUGACAAAACGUUGUUGCGACAGCAUUCCUGCGUAGUACGAGAGGAACCGCAGGUACGGACCAAUGGCACAAUACUUGUUCGAGCGAACAGUGGUAUGACGCUACGUCCGUUGGAUUAUGCCUGAACGCCUCUAAGGUCGUAUCCGUGCUGGACUGCAAUGAUAAAUAAGGGGCAAUUUGCAUUGUAUGGCUUCUAAACCAUUUAAAGUUUAUAAUUUACUUUAUAAACGACAAUGGAUGUGAUGCCAAUGUAAUUUGUAACAUAGUAAAUUGGGAGGAUCUUCGAUCACCUGAUGCCGCGCUAGUUAC